GAAUUUUAUAUAAAAUUUAUAAUUAAAUUUAUAUUUAAAUAUAUAUAUAAAAUUUUAUAUUUAAUUGGGAGGAUUGUUAAAUUUUAUUAACUUUAAUUAAAAUAAAUAAUAUAGAUUAAUAAAUUAAAGAAUGGUAAAUAAAUUAAAUAAAAAUUAAUUACCUUAGGGAUAACAGCAUAAUAUUUUUAAAGAGAACAUAUCGAUAAAAAUGUUUGU
rnacentral:rRNA from 1 species